GAUGAAGAAGUAGCGAAAUGCGAUACUUGGUGUGAAUUGCAGAAUCCCGUGAACCAUCGAGUCUUUGAACGCAAGUUGCGCCCGAAGCCAUUAGGCCGAGGGCACGCCUGCCUGGGCGUCACACGUCGUUGCCCCCCCAUCUACUCCUUCGGGAUUGCGGGGGGCGGAUGAUGGCCUCCCGUGCGCCACGCCGCGCGGUUGGCAUAAAUGCCAAGUCCUCGGCGACGCACGCCACGACAAUCGGUGGUUGCGAAACCUCGGUUGCCCGUCGUGUGCGGUCGUCGCGCAUCGAGGGCUCGAAAAAAUUGCCGGGUUCCGGCUCGGCUUUCAACGCGACCCCAGGUCAGGCGGGGUUACCCGCUGAAUUUAAGCAUAUCAAUAAGCGGAGGA
rnacentral:misc_RNA from 1 species